rnacentral:tRNA from 1 species
GCCGGCGUGGUGAAAUAGGUAAACACAACGGACUUAAAAUCCGUCGCUUCGGCUUACUGGUUCAAGUCCAGUCGCCGGCACCA